rnacentral:rRNA from 1 species
AUACGUAGGGGGCGAGCGUUGUCCGGAAUGACUGGGCGUAAAGGGCGCGUAGGCGGCCUGUUAAGUCUGGAGUGAAAGUCCUGUUUUCAAGAUGGGAAUUGCUUUGGAUACUGGGGGGCUUGAGUGCAGGAGAGGUUAUCGGAAUUCCCGGUGUAGCGGUGAAAUGCGUAGAGAUCGGGAGGAACACCAGUGGCGAAGGCGGGUAACUGGACUGCAACUGACGCUGAGGCGCGAAAGUGUGGGGAGCAAACAGGAUUAGAUACCCUGGUAGUCCACACUGUAAACGAUGAAUGCUAGGUGUAAGAGGUAUCGACCCCUUUUGUGCCGGAGUCAACACAAUAAGCAUUCCGCCUGGGGAGUACGGCCGCAAGGUUGAAACUCAAAUGAAUUGACGGGG